UUGCUUCUGCAGUAUAUGUAAUAUAAUUGGAAAGAUACAGAGAGUGUUAGCAUGGCUCCUGCACAAGAAUGAAACACAAAUCCAUAAAGCAUUCCAUACUUUU
rnacentral:snRNA from 1 species